CUGGCUCAGAUUGAACGCUGGCGGAAUGCUUUACACAUGCAAGUCGAACGGCAGCACGGACUUCGGUCUGGUGGCGAGUGGCGAACGGGUGAGUAACAUAUCGGAACGUAUCCAAUAAUGGGGGAUAACUAAUCGAAAGGUUGGCUAAUACCGCAUACGCCCUGAGGGGGAAAGCUAGGGAUCUUCGGACCUGGCGUUAAUGGAGCGGCCGAUAUCUGAUUAGCUAGUUGGUGAGGUAAAGGCUCACCAAGGCGACGAUCAGUAGCUGGUCUGAGAGGACGACCAGCCACACUGGAACUGAGACACGGUCCAGACUCCUACGGGAGGCAGCAGUGGGGAAUUUUGGACAAUGGGCGCAAGCCUGAUCCAGCCAUUCCGCGUGAGUGAAGAAGGCCUUCGGGUUGUAAAGCUCUUUCGCAAGGGAAGAAAACUUAUCCUCUAACAUAGGAUGAGGUUGACGGUACCUUGAUAAGAAGCACCGGCUAACUACGUGCCAGCAGCCGCGGUAAUACGUAGGGUGCGAGCGUUAAUCGGAAUUACUGGGCGUAAAGCGUGCGCAGGCUGUUUUGUAAGUCAGAUGUGAAAUCCCUGGGCUCAACCUAGGAACUGCGUUUGAAACUACAAGACUAG
rnacentral:rRNA from 1 species